rnacentral:rRNA from 1 species
ACGACCGUACCGCAAACCGACACUGGUGCGCGAGAUGAGUAUUCUAAGGCGCUUGAGAGAACUCAGGAGAAGGAACUCGGCAAAUUGACACCGUAACUUCGGAAGAAGGUGUGCCUUUAGUAGGUGAACCAUUUACUUGGGGAGCCCAAUGAGGCUGCAAAAAAUCGGUGGCUGCAACUGUUUAUUAAAAACACAGCACUCUGCUAAGACGAAAGUCGACGUAUAGGGUGUGACGCCUGCCCGGUGCUGGAAGAUUAAAUGAUGGGGUGCAAGCUCUUGAUUGAAGUCCCAGUAAACGGCGGCCGUAACAAUAACGGUCCUAAGGUAGCGAAAUUCCUUGUCGGGUAAGUUCCGACCUGCACGAAUGGCGUAAUGAUGGCCACACUGUCUCCUCCUGAGACUCAGCGAAGUUGAAAUGUUUGUGAUGAUGCAAUCUCCCCGCGGAAAGACGGAAAGACCCCAUGAACCUUUACUGUAGCUUUGUAUUGGACUUUGAACAGAUCUGUGUAGGAUAGGUGGGAGGCUUUGAAGUGUGGUCGCUAGAUCGCAUGGAGCCAACGUUGAAAUACCACCCUGGUGUGUUUGAGGUUCUAACCUAGGUCCAUUAUCUGGAUCGGGGACAGUGCAUGGUAGGCAGUUUGACUGGGGCGGUCUCCUCCCAAAGUGUAACGGAGGAGUUCGAAGGUACGCUAGGUACGGUCGGACAUCGUGCUAAUAGUGCAAUGGCAUAAGCGUGCUUAACUGCGAGACUGACAAGUCGAGCAGAUGCGAAAGCAGGACAUAGUGAUCCGGUGGUUCUGUAUGGAAGGGCCAUCGCUCAACGGAUAAAAGGUACUCUGGGGAUAACAGGCUGAUACCGCCCAAGAGUUCAUAUCGACGGCGGUGUUUGGCACCUCGAUGUCGGCUCAUCUCAUCCUGGGGCUGUAGCCGGUCCCAAGGGUAUGGCUGUUCGCCAUUUAAAGAGGUACGUGAGCUGGGUUUAAAACGUCGUGAGACAGUUUGGUCCCUAUCUUCCGUGGGCGCUGCAGAUUUGAGGAAGCCUGCUCCUAGUACGAGAGGACCGGAGUGGACGAACCUCUGGUGUAUCGGUUGUCACGCCAGUGGCAUUGCCGAGUAGCUAAGUUCGGAAGAGAUAACCGCUGAAAGCAUCUAAGCGGGAAACUCGUUUCAAGAUUAGAUCUGCCGGGGCCUUGAGCCCCCUAAAGAGUCGUUCAAGACCAGGACGUUGAUAGGUCAGGUGUGGAAGU